CUGGGUUGCGAUUUCCUUCUCCGAUUUCAAAGCACACAUGCUACAAACAAGACUUUUGCACUCUGGAAUAUGCGCUUGUCAAUACUGAGACCACCAUCAGAGGACGCACGCUAGAACUACUUAGUUUCUAAUCUGGAUCACCCUUUCUGCCACUAUUGAGAUUAUUGACAAAAUUUAGAACAAGUGCCUUGCUGUCACUGAGACUGCACAGUAGAGCAUACAUCCCAUCACUCCUGAACCCGGGUUAUUGAGAAUAUGGCCUGCCACUACUGAGCCUGUCCCUAAAACAUGCCUGUUGGAAGUACACAUACACUUUUGGUAUAUUACAC
rnacentral:sRNA from 1 species